AUAGUCGCCUGCGUCGUCGGUUCCGUUUUUGGAGCCAAGAGGGAAUGCGGUGAGGGCGACUUCCUGCCCAAAGCCGUGGCUGCCCCCGCAACUGUGUGCGGUAGUCCUCCCCAUAGACCACUGAGGGUUUCCCUCGGGAAGGUGGGGAAGGGCGCGAAUCCGCGAGCCAGGAGACCUGCCGGCGACAGAAAAGAUGA
rnacentral:ncRNA from 2 species